rnacentral:lncRNA from 1 species
AUGACGUGCGGAGGCAGCGCGAUUUUUGAGUGGAGGGCGGAAGUAAACAUGGAGGACACUGUGGAGAGUCAGGAGAGCAGCUAUUGUGCAACUUUAGACCCCGUUUCUCGGGAGAGAUAUAAACAGAUAGUUAAAAAAUAUAUCGGACGUGAUCCGUAUUCUUUGAAAAUGUCCGAAUACACCACAGAAGUAAAGGAUUUGCCUACUAUCGAGGCUGUGGAUAUCACCAACUACUUGGUCCUCCAGACUUCUUACUACACUAGGCAGCAAAUGAAAGCUUUCAAGAGUCUGGAGGCGUACAAUUUUUUUGUCAGCGGGUGGGUCCACAACCUUGGAACAAAACGUCUCCGUGAUGGAUACAGUUUGGUGUUUGCAAGGCACAAUAUCUUACCUGGAUAAGUGAAUGUCUCAUUCACACUGAAGUCUUCUGGUUGUGGAUUCUCAGCUGGAAGCUGCAGUUCGGGGUUCUCCACUGUCACUAGGCUCAAAUCCGGGCUCUCAGCCGUCUGUUGCAUAUCCAAAAUCGCCUCUGCACAUCGAUGCUGUUCUGCCUUAAGCUUCAUUCUUUUCUCUCGUUUGAGAACUGAUUCCGAUCUGGGUUUUCGUUCGUAGCCGAGAUUGACCGUCGGAGCCCAGUCCUCCGACUCUUCGUCAUCCAAAGCACUUGGGCAGCCUAUAGUCCCAAUCAAGUCAAUAUUAGACUACUAACUUAAAAGCACUAAGUAAACGAGAAUUUAACGACAACCUAAUGCUAAUAAGUUCGUUUGCAAACAUAACAUUACCUCUGACGAAGUGGUCGCUGCAGACACGGGCAUUGGCAGACUCUGCUCCUCCCGACUGUAAACGUAAAUUUAAAAUCCAUUUUUUCCUACGUUUUUCGGUUAGAAUUUUCCAUUUUUCUCCUCUUCGUUGGGCUAUUUUUGGUACCCUAAAAUACCGUUUAUCGGUUUCUCUGGUCGACCUACUGGAGCAUCCGUAAACACAACAGGACAUAGGCAUUUUGCGUACUGUCUGUCUGUGAUUUUGCGCUUAUCUUUUUCACUUCCGACCGCCAGUCAAAUUUCGCGCUUUACGUCGACGUCACGUCUACGUCAAAUGAAACCUAGCUAUUGAAGCGGGUGCUCUCCAAUCAUCAAAAGCAACAAAGUCAUUGAACACAUUUAUAUAGUUACCUUUACGUUUACCUACCAUAUAUCACAGAUUUAUUUUUUUUUUAGUACUAUGCAAAAAAAGCAACCACAGAGCGACAGUCUGGGUCAAUGGUGGCCGAGGCGACGGCAAGGCUAAACAAAGCAUCGAAGCGUUAGGCUAGCUCUGUAACGGAAUAUAACAAAAGUAUGAGUUCUUUGUUUCUUUAUAUUAACGAACUUUUUACUGUACUGAAAAUAAGGAAUAGAAGAAAAUUCAUUCUUACCUUAUAAUAAUCGUGGUGCAGGCCAGUGCAGUGCAUGAACUUAUAUGCCUUCUCCAGUGAAUUCCGCUGAGAGUAAAUGUAAUGUCCCACUCUACUGUACAAGACUUGUGAAUGGCUACCUGAAGGGAUGUACCACUGUGAGGGGGGGGUGCUAGGAAUAGUCCAAGUGAUCGCUGCUUUAAUUUUCCGGUCAACUACACAUAAAUUGCAAGUAGACAUGAUUUUAUUAAAGCUGGUGAACUGUAACUAGACCAGAAAUCAGUCAUAACAAAAGAACAUUCAAUCUAUUUUCUCCGGUACUUUAUACCCGCUCAGUUGCAAUGCAAUUUAACGCUCAACUACAAAUCAAUGGCUUUUUUUUAUGGUGACCUGUAGGGAUUUACCACUGUGAAAGAGGCUCUUUGGAUGAUCGCAGCUUUGAUCUCUGGUCAUCUAUAAAUAGACGUUGUUUCUUUUGUUUGUUGUAGACUUAAAAUAUUCCAUCCUCUAGAGGCAUAAAAAUAUAUUUUAUCAAAAGAUUCAGUGACUGGAGAAAUCUCUUUGCAGAAACAAUGAGGCUAAAAGCCAUGAUGUCAGUGAUCUUCAAACGCUCAUAGGAAAGUUAUCAUCAUGGAGCAUUAAACAGACACGAUUCUGUCCUGGAAAUCAGUGCAUUUCCUGUAUCCUUUGGGGCAACAGACCAGAGUCACACUUUUAGAGAGGUGCCUGAUGAGGUGGACUGAGAGGAAUAUCCAUGAUGCAUGGCAGUUUGUUCACUCACUUCCUCUCCACCACAGCUUCCGAAGCGCGGCCAAUCACAGAGCUUGCUCUCCUGAUCCAAGAAGAACACAUCAAAGUGCACUGCACUCACCUGAACUGACAGAACACCUGUCAUUAACAUUUUGGUGCACACACAAGCUUGCUCACAAAAAAAAGCCUGCCCAUCCACUGCUUGUGUACAGCCUCUGUUUUGAUCUUCCAGUUCAGCAAAUGUAUAAAUGUGGGUGUCCAGGUAUUUGUAUUCCUCCACCACAUCAUAUCAGCGGGUUCAGUAUCUUAUACUUUUGUCAAGAUAAUCCACACUGCAGCCGAUUUGUAUCUACAGUUACCAGAAAGAAGCCAUAACCAAGUUACAUGGAUUCUUUUUUAUUUUAAUUACUUUAUGUCAUACAGGUAAACUAGUUAUGUUAUGUGCAACGCUGUCAUGUGCCACUCUCUGUUUCAAAUUCAUGUAAGACAUCCAGAGUACUCUGAUGACAUUGACAAGGACAACUCCAGUUUACAUGGGAAACAAUUAUUUCAUGUUUUUGAGAUUAUUUAUUUACAUCACUUUUCAGAAAACGUACAUACAGGUCUGAUUCAAAACUGCAUAUCUAAUUUUAAUGCAUGUUGAUGGGGCAAAAAUAUUCCUGAGAUACUGUUAACAUUAUUAAAUUUGAAGGCUAUUAUACAGUGGUAUUACUUUAAACUGAGUAAAACGGUAUUUUGAUAAAAGUUAAGGUCUCCGUUUGUUUCAGAAAAAGCAUUCUGUCAUUUAUUUGCUUUUAUUAUUUAUUCAUAUGCCUUCCGCGGACCAUCUCGGCACUGCGUGGGUGAUUGGUGGCUCCGUGCACACUAAGUGCUGCACACAGGGACAAGGCGCACUAAUUAUGAUCAGAUCUUCCCUGGGCAGGGGGAGGUGAUGAACUGUAUGCCACUUUUUCAUUGGCAUACAUUAAGUACAAUGUUUUAUUGCCUACGGUGGGGCAGGUCACAUACUGGGUGAAGGUGGUCAGUGUGGAGUCCAGCGAGACAUGAUUAAAGUCCCCUGAUAUUAGAAGAAGAGCUCUCGGAGAUUGCGUCUGCGGACCACAGAGAGUCACAGGCUGCCUCCACGGAUGCUAAUGGCUAAUAGCUCAAUGUCUCUGUUGCAGAGUUGUUCUUUCACAGCAAUGUGCCCAGGGAUACCACAACCGUCUUUAACAAACACUGCCCAGUCCCCCUCCUUUCCUCUCACCGCUGUCUCUCGUCUUGUCCGGCCGCAGCAGCUGGAAGCCGGGCAGCCUACUCACAGAGGGAGUACCGGGCAGUGUCGGGGUACUGCCACUGUGACCGGGUUAGCGUCAUUAGCUCCUCAAUCAUAUCAGGGAGCGAUCUCACGUUUACAGUGAUUACAGGAAGGAGAGAUGGUGUGUAAGGUGUCCUUCUCGGGAGACAUCACCCCCGUCUCUUCCCUCACUGGGGACGCUACCGUCUGCCGGUAGCGCAGCUGCAGGGCGCAGCGCUAACAGCUGAUCCCUAACGUAAACAAAGGAGCCAUGCGCCGAGUGUCUAAAUACGGGUGAAAAAAGAGAAGACAAAAGAAGAGAAAAGUCAACAUAACUAGCACGGAGCGGUAAUGCAUGACGGCAGAAUCUGAUUGCUAAGACAUAAGUUAAAGGUUAAGAGAAGUAAAGAGGAAAAUAAGAAAGAAGCUCAGAAAUUAGCAGAGCUAGCUCUGCUCAUUACCUGUUAGCUGCCAUAACAGGUACCACAGUUAAGGUUUCAGAAAAAGCAUUCUGUCGUUUGUUUGCUUGAUCAUGCCUUAAACACAUCAAAAUGCAUAGUGGGAUUAUAAUACAAGUCAAUACUGUGACAAGCACUGGUACCGAAUAGGCAAUCACUCAGCAGCAAGGUGAAUCGGUGAUGCAUUAGUGUGGUCUGCACUUCGUCUUCUUUGAUUGGGUGAAAUGAGUUGAAAGUAAUUGGAUGAGGGAACCAUGGGGAGUGCCCUGCAUAAUUUCAAUAAAACGCCGUUUUAAACGCCGUUACAGCUGGCACAGAACGCCGUAAAAAACGCCGUUUUUAUGCAUCUUUGAACGGCUUUUUCCGCCGAGUGGCGGAAAAAACGGCGUUUCCGUCUGUCUUUGAACGCCGCUUUUUACGUCACUCGGAUGGUGCGUUCAGGGCGCCAUGUGAGAGUCGGAAAAAACGGCGUUUGUCGAAACAGAACGCCGUUUUUCUCGGCGUUUUGAAAAAUUAAACGGCGUUUUUUACGCCAUUUCUUAAUCAAACGCGUUAGAAAAGUGGCCAAUUUUGGCACUAAUGGCUUGCCAUACAGGUGAGGUGUGUCAGCCUCCCGCAGCCGCGCCACGAACCACGCCCGCCAACAAACCACGACUGCUAAUAAAACAGGAACAGACAGAUGCUUUUCACAAGGACAAAUGGAUGCAAUAUUCAAACACACACCGAAGAAAAGACAAAAAUCCGCAGAAAGGGAGAUUUGAGGAUUUAGUUGAUAUCUUGUCUUGCGUUUAGGAUGAAUGGUUAAUGACUGGACUGUAUUAUUUCAGAAAUUAAAUACUUUCAGUAACUCUUCUGC